UUUUUCCACAGCUAUGCUAAUCAGCUGUGGGUUAGUCUGGUCCUAAGGCGAACCCGAAAGGGACAGUCGAUGGCUAACGGGUUAAUAUUCCCGUACUACUAAUUACUGUGAUGGGGUGACGGAGUGAUGAAAGCGCCGCGAACUGACGGAAUAGUUCGUUGAAGUACCUACCUAUAGGAUCUGCAGGCAAAUCCACAGAUCUUGGGGAAAUACGAUAGUACUCGGAGUCUUCGGACAAAGAGAUAGUGCGCCUAAGGGCUUCCAAGAAAAACCUCUAAACUUCAGGUAAUUAGUACCAGUACCGUAAACCGACACAGGUAGUUGAGGAGAGAAUCCUAAGGUGCUCGAGAGAUUCAUGGCUAAGGAAUUAGGCAAAAUAGACCUGUAACUUCGGGAGAAAGGUCGCCAGCGCAAGCUGGCCGCAGUGAAGAGGUCCAGGCGACUGUUUAUCAAAAACACAGGGCUCUGCAAAAUCGUAAGAUGAAGUAUAGGGCCUGACACCUGCCCGGUGCUGGAAGGUUAAGAGGAGAUGUUAUCUUCGGAGAAGCAUUGAAUUGAAGCCCCAGUAAACGGCGGCCGUAACAAUAACGGUCCUAAGGUAGCGAAAUUCCUUGUCGGGUAAGUUCCGACCUGCACGAAUGGUGUAACGAUCUGGACACUGUCUCAGCCAUGAGCUCGGUGAAAUUGUAGUAACGGUGAAGAUGCCGUUUACCCGCAGUGGGACGAAAAGACCCUGUGCACCUUUACUAUAGCUUAGUAUUGACCUUGGAUAAAUGAUGUGUAGGAUAGGUUGGAGACUGUGAAGUGGCGUCGCCAGGCGUUGUGGAGUCAUUGUUGAAAUACAACCCUUUGUUUAUCUGAGGCCUAACCCCGUUUUGCGGGGGACAUUGCUUGGUGGGUAGUUUGACUGGGGUGGUCGCCUCCAAAAGAGUAACGGAGGCUUCUAAAGGUUCCCUCAGUACGCUUGGUAACCGUGCGUAGAGUGCAAUGGCAUAAGGGAGCUUGACUGAGAGACAUACAGGUCGAUCAGGUACGAAAGUAGAGCAUAGUGAUCCGGUGGUUCCGCAUGGAAGGGCCAUCGCUCAAAGGAUAAAAGGUACGCCGGGGAUAACAGGCUGAUCUCCCCCAAGAGCUCAUAUCGACGGGGGGGUUUGGCACCUCGAUGUCGGCUCGUCACAUCCUGGGGCUGGAGAAGGUCCCAAGGGUUGGGCUGUUCGCCCAUUAAAGUGGCACGCGAGCUGGGUUCAGAACGUCGUGAGACAGUUCGGUCUCUAUCUACUGUGGGCGUUAGAAAUUUGAGUGGAUCUGAUUCUAGUACGAGAGGACCGAAUUGGACAAACCUCUAGUGUAUCUGUUGUCCCGCCAGGGGCACCGCAGAGUAGCUACGUUUUGAAGGGAUAAGCGCUGAAAGCAUAUAAGCGCGAAACCCACCACAAGAUGAGAUUUCUUUUAAGGAUCGUGGAAGAUGACCACGUUGAUAGGCUAUAGAUGUAAAGGCAGUAAUGUCAUAGUCGAGUAGUACUAAUAAUC
rnacentral:rRNA from 1 species